rnacentral:rRNA from 1 species
AGCGGCGAACGGGUGAGUAACACGUAGGUGAUCUGCCCAUCAGACGGGGACAACGAUUGGAAACGAUCGCUAAUACCGGAUAGGACGAAAGUUUAAAGGUGCUUCUGGCACCGCUGAUGGAUGAGCCUGCGGCGCAUUAGCUAGUUGGUAGGGUAAAGGCCUACCAAGGCGACGAUGCGUAGCCGACCUGAGAGGGUGAACGGCCACACUGGGACUGAGACACGGCCCAGACUCCUACGGGAGGCAGCAGUAGGGAAUCUUCGGCAAUGGGCGAAAGCCUGACCGAGCAACGCCGCGUGAAUGAUGAAGGCCUUCGGGUUGUAAAAUUCUGUUAUAAGGGAAGAACGACUUUAGUAGGAAAUGGCUAGAGUGUGACGGUACCUUAUGAGAAAGCCACGGCUAACUACGUGCCAGCAGCCGCGAUAAUACGUAGGUGGCGAGCGUUAUCCGGAAUUAUUGGGCGUAAAGAGCGCGCAGGUGGUUGAUUAAGUCUGAUGUGAAAGCCCACGGCUUAACCGUGGAGGGUCAUUGGAAACUGGUCGACUUGAGUGCAGAAGAGGGAAGUGGAAUUCCAUGUGUAGCGGUGAAAUGCGUAGAGAUAUGGAGGAACACCAGUGGCGAAGGCGGCUUCCUGGUCUGUAACUGACACUGAGGCGCGAAAGCGUGGGGAGCAACAGGAUUAGAUACCCUGGUAGUCCACGGCCGUAACGAUGAGUGCUAGUGU